GAUGAACGCUAGCGGCAGGCUUAACACAUGCAAGUCGAGGGGUAUAGUUCUUCGGAGCUAGAGACCGGCGCACGGGUGCGUAACGCGUAUGCAAUCUACCUUUUGCAGAGGGAUAGCCCAGAGAAAUUUGGAUUAAUACCUCAUGGUAUGUGAGAAUGGCAUCAUUUUCACAUUAAAGUCACAACGGCAAAAGAUGAGCAUGCGUCCCAUUAGCUAGUUGGUAAGGUAACGGCUUACCAAGGCAACGAUGGGUAGGGGUCCUGAGAGGGAGAUCCCCCACACUGGUACUGAGACACGGACCAGACUCCUACGGGAGGCAGCAGUGAGGAAUAGUGGACAAUGGGCGCAAGCCUGAUCCAGCCAUGCCGCGUUCAGGAUGACGGUGCUAUGGAUUGUAAACUGCUUUUGUACAGGAAGAAACACUGGUUCGUGAACCAGCUUGACGGUACUGUAAGAAUAAGGAUCGGCUAACUCCGUGCCAGCCGCCGCGGUAA
rnacentral:rRNA from 1 species